GCAUCACAACCGUUAACUAUAGAGGCUAACAAUUAGAGGAGCGUCAGAAUAAAAUACCUAAAACAGGGGAAGUUACAAAAAAAUUUGUAAUGUGAGCUGCUGACAGAGAUACAGGAAACACAGAGCUGGAGCGGAGCAGAUCUCCUGUCGAAGAACAUCUCCAAAGCGCCAUGAACCAUCUGACUAGUAAGU